rnacentral:rRNA from 1 species
GAUGAACGCUGGCUACAGGCUUAACACAUGCAAGUCGAGGGGAAACGACGGGGAAGCUUGCUUCCCCGGGCGUCGACCGGCGCACGGGUGAGUAACGCGUAUCCAACCUGCCUCUGACUGAGGGAUAACCCGUCGAAAGUCGGCCUAAUACCUCAUGGCAUCGUCUGCGGGCAUCCAACGACGAUUAAAGAUUUCAUCGGUCAGAGAUGGGGAUGCGUCUGAUUAGCUUGUUGGCGGGGUAACGGCCCACCAAGGCGACGAUCAGUAGGGGUUCUGAGAGGAAGGUCCCCCACAUUGGAACUGAGACACGGUCCAAACUCCUACGGGAGGCAGCAGUGAGGAAGAUUGGUCAAUGGGCGAGAGCCUGAACCAGCCAAGUAGCGUGCAGGAUGACGGCCCUAUGGGUUGUAAACUGCUUUUAUGCGGGGAUAAAGUGAGGGACGUGUCCUUCAUUGCAGGUACCGCAUGAAUAAGGACCGGCUAAUUCCGU